GCAUCUGUGCAUGCAGCAUAUCAAUAAGCGGAGGAAAAGAAACUAACAAGGAUUCCCCUAGUAACGGCGAGUGAAGCGGGAAGAGCUCAAAUUUGAAAUCUUAAAGGGUUUCCCUUUACGAAUUGUAGUUUAAAGAAGUGUUUUCUGUUGAGGUUUUGGUAAAAGUUCUUUGGAAUAGGACAUCAUAGAGGGUGAGAAUCCCGUAUUUGACCUUUACUUUCAACUUUGUGGAUACACUUUCAAAGAGUCGGAUUGUUUGGGAAUGCAGUCCAAAAUGGGUGGUAAAUUUCAUCUAAAGCUAAAUAUUGGCGAGAGACCGAUAGCGAACAAGUACCGUGAGGGAAAGAUGAAAAGAACUUUGAAAAGAGAGUUAAACAGUACGUGAAAUUGUCAAAAGGGAAGCGUUUGACACCAGUGUUGUUUUUCUGAAAAUCAAUUAAAGAACUGUUUAUGCUAAGUUGUUUAGACUUUAUCAGCUAACUGUUUAGUUUUGAGCUUUUCUUUAAUGCACUUUUCAGUUAACAAGUCAACAUCAAUUUCUUUUGCUGUAAAAAAGCUUGAGGAAGGUGGCUUGAGAUUCGUCUUAAGUGUUUAUAGCCUCUUGCCUAUGCAGUCGGAGAGAUUGAGGUCUGCAGCGUAGAUCCUUCGGGGCUAAAUGUAUUUGUGCUAAGUUAUAGCAUUUUAUAGACAACUUGUUGACUAUGAUUUGUCUUGUAGCUUACUCGCUUAUGUUAUUUUACCUACGCUUAGGAUGUUGAGUCGUAGAGCACGCAG
rnacentral:rRNA from 1 species